AUAGGCAUUUUACCAGGAAAAAAUAAAGAAAACAAGAGAUGACUAACCAGAUACUUAAAGGGGAAUCACGGUCGUGGGGCAGAUGUGGUCCACUGUGACGUCACUAGAAGGACAACAUUACAUGCUUCCUACAGGGUGGGGCAAGUGACAAGUUUCGUGGGGUCUCUAGAAUGAAAGUGAAAAGCCGCCUCUAACUGCCAGAACGAAACAGCUUGUGUCGCCUUUUGUAUCUGAGAUGUAACUUCUGGGCUGGCGAGGUGGCUCAGAGGGCGAAUGGUGCUUGCGGUUUGUCUAUCCCUGCUGCAGCGCCUCAGGCUCAGCACCAAGUGAGGGGCAGGACACCAUUCAAAAGACCCACUUCACUGGCGCGCCCUCCUCUCCUCCAGCAACAACUCUCCAAUCUUCUAAAUCCACAGUGGACAUGGAAUCUCAGCGUGAGUUCCUGUGGAUUGCACAACAAACUACCAACCAGAAGCAUUUGCUCAUGACACGAGAGGCCAGAAGUCAAAAGUCAAAGCGCUGCUCAGCUGGGUUCCUCAGAAUCCCCAGGAGGAGGAUUGCUUUCCCUACCUCCCUGCUAGCCCCAGACAGUGCAAAUAAACCAGGAUUACACUGAA